rnacentral:rRNA from 1 species
AUUGAACGCUGGCGGCAGGCUUAACACAUGCAAGUCGAGCGGGGACUUCGGUCCUAGCGGCGAACGGGUGAGGGAUGCUUGGGAAUCUGCCCAGUAGCGGGGGAUAACGUUUCGAAAGGAACGCUAAUACCGCAUACGCCCUACGGGGGAAAGGGGGGGAUCUUCGGACCUCUCACUAUUGGAUGAGCCAAAGUCGGAUUAGCUAGUUGGUGGGGUAAAGGCCUACCAAGGCGACGAUCCGUAGCUGGUCUGAGAGGAUGAUCAGCCACACUGGAACUGAGACACGGUCCAGACUCCUACGGGAGGCAGCAGUGGGGAAUAUUGGACAAUGGGCGAAAGCCUGAUCCAGCCAUGCCGCGUGUGUGAAGAAGGCCUUCGGGUUGUAAAGCACUUUAAGCGAGGAGGAAUGGCUGAGGGUUAAUAACCUUCAGCAGUGACGUUACUCGCAGAAUAAGCACCGGCUAACUCUGUGCCAGCAGCCGCCGUAA